GGAGACUGCUAGGCUGCAGGCAGGAGAAGGGACUCGCUUCUUUGUGUUUUCACAGUGGCAGGCGGUCCCUGCAGAAUUCCCGGCCACGGCAGUCAGGUCCACAUGCAGCUAAGCCCUUCAGAAAUGUUGUUCUUCACCGUGGGGGCGUGCUGCUCUCCUGGUCCUGGUGAGAGGUCUCCAGUAACACAAUCAUGGCAGUUUGUGCGUUGGUAAAAAGCCUGUGCCGCCUCUCAGAGAAUGUGCCUGCCAGAGUAUACAAAAUAUACUCAGAAGAGGAAUUCCACUGAAUCAGGAACUUCUUGAAAAGAAGGGAGUAAACAAAAACCAGGAAAAUUAGCAAAGGUAGCGAUAAUCAUCCCGGCAGAACUGGCAGUUUCCAAGUAUUUAAUUCACUGCAAGCAAGCAUCUUCUUUACUGGAAAAAUGUACUACAGCCGAGGCAGAAAAUGGAAAGGAGAAGCUGUUAGCUUCAUUUCACCUAAAACAAGAUACUGCCGCUCCGUUACACUUUCAAAGAUACUAGAAGGUUUAAACUUCAGUGUUCCAGAGAUCCAUCUGGGCUCCAGGGCAUUUCUCCUGAAGAUGCAUAUUACACUGGUAAUAGAAUUCAGGAGUUAAGGCCCCUAGACCACUGUAGCGCAUUUCAUCAGCCAGCUUGCUUGUGAAUCCUACAGAAGUCACAUUUGGGGGACAGAAUCUAUGAGAAUGGAAAUUGGUUUCUAAGCCACCUCUGAACGCUGGCCACGUGAUAAAUGGCACUGGUGUUGCCAUUUCUUCUGAUGGAUUGCUCGUGCCUUCUGUCUGACAGCUAAUGAGCUCCACUAAUCAAACCGAGGAACAAAUGCUAUUUCUCACCCUCUCCUCCUACCUGAAAAGGUGAGGGGUUCUGACCCUCACCCAGACAGACUGACAGCACUGAACAGGAGCAGAAUAACAAGGAAACCUGGAAGGUUAAUUAAGGUAGUACCCAAAAGUUGUUUUUAAAUCAAUUUAAUUAACCUGUGAUCUCUUAAAAUUAGAAUAUGUUGCAACUAGAAUGAAGGCAAAUUUUAUUCUACUUUUUUUUUUUUUAACUUCAUCUUAGAAAACAGAAACUGAGCAAGUCUCCGGAUAAAAAGUAAUGAGGAGGGUGUUAAUUACCACCUGGACUUUUUCAAAUCUAUCUUUAUUGCCUGCGUAUCACAGAAUGGAUGGUUUCCAUUCUCAGAGGAAGAAUCCACAGCAUUAACAUCUGGCGCUGUUGUCAGUUGCCCAAGUUUCUGGUAGCGCACUCCCUCACCAAAUGGAUGUACUAUUCACCCCUCAAGAUUAGGGCCGAGUGAUAUAGUAAAGGAAGGCAAUAUGAGUCUGCUGAAGAGAAGGAGUCAGACUGCCAGAAUCCAAAAUCAGCCACUACAACUUCCUAGCAGUUAGGCCUUUGGCAAAUUACCAAACCUCUCUUAAUUUCUUCUUUUCUCCCCUCUGUAAAAUAGGGUUACCAAUAGCAUGUACCGUAUGGGAUUGUGAGAAGAACUGAAGGCUUUAAUGCCGUAAUGCGUGUGAAUUACUGAGUACAGGGCCUGGACCAUAGUAAGUUCUCAGGAAAUGCCAAUUACUUGACAGGGUUGGUUUUUCUGUUCUUUGUUUUGUUUCACAAGGAGUCCAUGACACCUAG
rnacentral:lncRNA from 1 species